rnacentral:rRNA from 1 species
UACGAAGGGGGCUAGCGUUGUUCGGAAUCACUGGGCGUAAAGCGCACGUAGGCGGAUCUCUAAGUCGGGGGUGAAAUCCCGAGGCUCAACCUCGGAACUGCCUUCGAUACUGGAGAUCUUCGAGUCCGGGAGAGGUGAGUGGAACUCCGAGUGUAGAGGUGAAAUUCGUAGAUAUUCGGAAGAACACCAGUGGCGAAGGCGGCUCACUGGCCCGGUACUGACGCUGAGGUGCGAAAGCGUGGGGAGCAAACAGG